GAUGAACGCUGGCGGCGUGCCUAAUACAUGCAAGUCGAGCGAACAGACGAGGAGCUUGCUCCUCUGACGUUAGCGGCGGACGGGUGAGUAACACGUGGAUAACCUACCUAUAAGACUGGGAUAACUUCGGGAAACCGGAGCUAAUACCGGAUAAUAUAUUGACCCGCAUGGUUCAUUAUUAAAAGACGGUUUUGCUUUCCCUUAUAGAUGGAUCCCCGCCGCUUUAUCUAGUUGGGAAGGUAACGGUUUACCAAGGCAACGAUGGGUACCCGCCCUGAGGGGGUGAUCGGCCACACUGGGAAUGAGAAACGGGCCAGAAUCCUAAGGGAGGGAGGAGGAGGGAAACUUCCGCAAUGGGCGAAAGCCUGAAGGAGCAACGCCGCGUGAGUGAUGAAGGUCUUCGGAUCGUAAAACUCUGUUAUUAGGGAAGAACAAAUGUGUAAGUAACUAUGCACGUCUUGACGGUACCUAAUCAGAAAGCCACGGCUAACUACGUG
rnacentral:rRNA from 1 species